GCUACGAAGGGUUCAUGAGAAGUACGGUAGUCUGCAUGAACGGAUCUUCAUCCCUCUCUCACUCGUGUAGAAUCAAUAUGAGCGCUGCAACAACUUGUACGAGAUUUAGCGAUAAUUACGAAGUUAAAGAAGAACUAGGAAAGGGUGCUUUUUCAAUUGUGAGAAGAUGUGUUCAGAAUAUAACUCUAUUAGAAUUUGCUGCAAAGAUUAUCAACACAAAGAAAUUAUCUGCCAGAGAUUUUCAGAAGCUGGAAAAGGGAAU